UGUUUCUCUAUAUUCAAUUAGGCUGAACAAAAUUUUCGUGAUGACUUGAGUACUUGCUGGUUCGCCCUACUACUAUAUGCAAAAACUCCACAGUGAAACUGAGAUAGACUAGCUGAAUGACCAUGCGCUGCUACUUAAAUAAGAAAAUUCCAAUCCUGUGGUGUAUCAGUCUCCGUACAUGUAUUUGUAAUUAUGUACACAAAAACUGACUCUUAAACAAGAUGGUGGAAAUCAUGAAUAGUGGCCCCACCUAUUUGAAAGUUCCUUUUGAUGGAAAGGAGGUGACAUGGCAGGUGGACCAUUGCCACCAACUCUAUGUGGUAGAGAGAUGCACACACAUUAAGUUCACUAUGGAGAAGGGCAUUUGUUAUAGAGAUGCAAUUGGGCUGCACAAUCCCUUGAAGAACUUGGGUUGUGAUGCAUUUUCUGUUAAAGGUCUACACACAGUGGUUUUAGACACUAGAACGGUUUAAGUUAGUUGAUGAACUAGAGCACUAGACAAAUAAGCAGUUCCAGCUAUAUUGCUGUCACUACUUACUAGUGUUGUUAAAGCCACUAUUGGUCUGCAGGUACCAACAGUUGGACUUAACAAUGUAAUUAAGUCUCAGGCCCUGUUCGGAUUACCUCUAAUCCAGUGCAUCAAUCUGUAAAAUAUUUCAGCCAAGCUGGAAACUGGCGUUUGGAUGACCAGUAUUGGGCCAGUAAAUUUCUGUUGUUUUGGUACAUACAUCUGUUACUAAGUGAUGAGGGACUCCUGUUUCCUCUUGCUGCGAGCAGACGAAGCAAUGACACGUCACCUGAGAUAUCAACACCAUUACAUCUCACCAGAAUAUUGCCCGCUCUCCUCAUACUUUGCUGCCACAUCAUCCUGUUCCAUCUUCCCUCUGCCGCUGCCUCUUGCAUAGAUCUGCCGUGCUCCCAUCACUUUCUGGUUUCUCGAUCGCCAUUGCUGCACCCUCAACUUCCCAUGCCAGCUUCCCUGCCGCUUGCUGCCCUGUCCAUGUUGACUGGACUUUCUCCUGACCUUGGCAAGUUUUGUUUCCCCUGUUUUUGUAUCCUGUUUCCUUGAUAUCCUCUCAUGUGCUCCACCUGAAAGUGUUGGAAGCUUGCUUAGUGCUCCUCUAGAACUUUGGAUGACUUGUUAUCUUUAGAUGUUUUCUUAGAAAUGCCAUUUCAGUGUAGUUCAUUAGUUUGGUUUUGUUGAGCUCAGUUGUGGUUGUGUUAGGCCCAAAACAGUCAUCCAUUUGGGUUUGUUCUAUGUAUUGAAGGUUGACGGUGAUCUUUGAUCGUGCGAAAUUUUGUUCAUGUUUUCUUGUAUUCAAGUUUGACAGUGAUCUUGAUUGUGCGAAAUUUAUUCCUUUUUUCUUAGAUUGAUCUCAUAGAACAAAAUGCAGCAAUAGGGAGAAAAUUGAUUUUAUAGAAAUAAAUAGCAACACAAAAUCGAUAUGUACAUGGAAUCUAAUGUACUAAAAAAGACGCUCAUCGGUUCAAUGGUUACCUUGAAACCGUUGUAAAGGUAGCCUGAAGCUUUGAACCGCAUGCUUAGAGAGCUCGUGCUGAUAAUGUAUGAUACCAAUAUCAAAAGGUGUUAUCCAGAGAUCGUGAUUCGUAAACAAGUAGUAGAUCAAGCACUUAGACACAAGAUAUAGGCAUAUACUAUGUUCUUUUUCUGGAUUUCUUUCUCAUGAGUACAAAAUCUUCAAAAUGCCUGGAAUAACCGGAGGCCACCAUCUAUUUAUAGACCACUGCAUUGGGAUAGGGUUUAGUAAUUGAUCAUAUGGGCCCUACAGAGCACAGUGUUGGCCAGUCAACUUGAAUGGAUUUCAUAACAAUAACAAUUUGUAAAACUUUGGCGUCUGCAAGAGUCUGGCCCUAGAAAAGUUCAUCUCAUUCCUUCUGUUGUCUUGCUAUUCCUGCCAAAGCAAUUGACACUCUGCGCGGACAAAUAGAACACAUGGUCAACUCUGGGCCAUGAUAACUAGCACCUGCAUCCUAACCUCAUCGUCAUCUCCUCUAACAACAGCAAGAAUCGCAACACCUUCAUCUUCCUUCUCUGUACAUACUCUAUGCCUCCUCUUCUUGUUACAAUCAAUUUGAGAGGAGGCUCUGUACAGCAGAAAGGCAGGCUAAGAUUGCUUGCUGAAAUUACAGAAGAAUAAUGUGGUUCUAUACAAAUUGGUCCUCGGGAAGACAAGUGUAGAUUGGAGGGAAUAGGCCUGUGGUAGCUGUCAAUGGUGGUCCACCAAUGUUUUGGCAGGAGCCGUGAGGGACAACAGAGUGAGCAUACAAUAGCAGAGGAGGAUGAAAGCAAGAUCGAGCAAGUAGUAGUAGACCCAGUGGAGGCCACGCAGAACAUCAAAUAUAGUGGACCUGUGAUGCAGCAGCUGGGAGCCAUUGCCUGUGGCACAGCAAGGAAAGGCCAAGCAUGGUGCACGCAGUGGCUACAUUAGACAAGCAAGAGAGGAAGGAGAAACUAUGCGUGGGCCUCUGAUGAGGAGGCCACAAGGGCACGGUCAGCAUGCCAUGUAAAUGGUCAGCGCAACUGCAGAUAGGUAUGGACAUUUACCGGUACCCUUAGCAAGUUUAGGGAGUUGAUUGUGCGUUUAAGAG